AAAAAAAAUAACGCUAUUUCCUCUUCUUUCAGCCUAUUUUAUUUGAAUGGAACUACAAAAGGAAAGCUACGCCAAUUCUUACCACCAUUUUAUUGCAGAAAGGCCGCAAUAUGAAAGAGAGGGAUUGUGCUUUACCUUGUUUCUUGGCUGUCGAGGAAUAAAAAAUCCAUGAGCUGAUAUUCAACUUGUUCAACUGGAAAAGACUAAUUUUAUUUCCAGGAUCUGUCAGGUUCAUUUGAUGAUCAUCUUGGCGUGUAGGCGCACCUAUUGAGGAGACUUCAUGUGAGCUGCAUUCCAGACUACGUAUCGCAGUCCACUGGCUCCAUUAUACUAAUUAUUUUAUUUUGUCUUAUUACAUUCGGGACAACUAUUGUAUUAUUCUUGUACUCCUUAGAAAAAUGCUCAUACACUUGUAACACUGGGUUUUGGGGGUUUC